rnacentral:rRNA from 1 species
GGACAACAGUUGGAAACGACUGCUAAUACCGCAUAAGCCCACGGGUCGGCAUCGAUCUGAGGGAAAAGGAGCAAUCCGCUUUGAGAUGGCCUCGCGUCCGAUUAGCUAGUUGGUGAGGUAACGGCCCACCAAGGCGACGAUCGGUAGCCGGACUGAGAGGUUGAACGGCCACAUUGGGACUGAGACACGGCCCAGACUCCUACGGGAGGCAGCAGUGGGGAAUAUUGCACAAUGGGGGAAACCCUGAUGCAGCGACGCCGCGUGGAGGAAGAAGGUCUUCGGAUUGUAAACUCCUGUUGUUGAGGAAGAUAAUGACGGUACUCAACAAGGAAGUGACGGCUAACUACGUGCCAGCAGCCGCGGUAAAACGUAGGUCACAAGCGUUGUCCGGAAUUACUGGGUGUAAAGGGAGCGCAGGCGGGAAGACAAGUUGGAAGUGAAAUCUAUGGGCUCAACCCAUAAACUGCUUUCAAAACUGUUUUUCUUGAGUAGUGCAGAGGUAGGCGGAAUUCCCGGUGUAGCGGUGGAAUGCGUAGAUAUCGGGAGGAACACCAGUGGCGAAGGCGGCCUACUGGGCACCAACUGACGCUGAGGCUCGAAAGUGUGGGUAGCAAACAGGAUUAGAUACCCUGGUAGUCCACACCGUAAACGAUGAUUACUAGGUGUUGGAGGAUUGACCCCUUCAGUGCCGCAG